rnacentral:rRNA from 1 species
AAAUUGAAGAGUUUGAUCAUGGCUCAGAUUGAACGCUGGCGGCAGGCCUAACACAUGCAAGUCGAACGGUAACAGGAAGCAGCUUGCUGCUUCGCUGACGAGUGGCGGACGGGUGAGUAAUGUCUGGGAAACUGCCUGAUGGAGGGGGAUAACUACUGGAAACGGUGGCUAAUACCGCAUAACGUCGCAAGACCAAAGAGGGGGACCUUCGGGCCUCUUGCCAUCAGAUGUGCCCAGAUGGGAUUAGCUAGUUGGUGAGGUAACGGCUCACCAAGGCGACGAUCCCUAGCUGGUCUGAGAGGAUGACCAGCCACACUGGAACUGAGACACGGUCCAGACUCCUACGGGAGGCAGCAGUGGGGAAUAUUGCACAAUGGGCGCAAGCCUGAUGCAGCCAUGCCGCGUGUAUGAAGAAGGCCUUCGGGUUGUAAAGUACUUUCAGCGGGGAGGAAGGUGUUGUGGUUAAUAACCACAGCAAUUGACGUUACCCGCAGAAGAAGCACCGGCUAACUCCGUGCCAGCAGCCGCGGUAAUACGGAGGGUGCAAGCGUUAAUCGGAAUUACUGGGCGUAAAGCGCACGCAGGCGGUCUGUCAAGUCGGAUGUGAAAUCCCCGGGCUCAACCUGGGAACUGCAUUCGAAACUGGCAGGCUUGAGUCUUGUAGAGGGGGGUAGAAUUCCAGGUGUAGCGGUGAAAUGCGUAGAGAUCUGGAGGAAUACCGGUGGCGAAGGCGGCCCCCUGGACAAAGACUGACGCUCAGGUGCGAAAGCGUGGGGAGCAAACAGGAUUAGAUACCCUGGUAGUCCACGCCGUAAACGAUGUCUACUUGGAGGUUGUGCCCUUGAGGCGUGGCUUCCGGAGCUAACGCGUUAAGUAGACCGCCUGGGGAGUACGGCCGCAAGGUUAAAACUCAAAUGAAUUGACGGGGGCCCGCACAAGCGGUGGAGCAUGUGGUUUAAUUCGAUGCAACGCGAAGAACCUUACCUGGUCUUGACAUCCACAGAACUUUCCAGAGAUGGACUGGUGCCUUCGGGAACUGUGAGACAGGUGCUGCAUGGCUGUCGUCAGCUCGUGUUGUGAAAUGUUGGGUUAAGUCCCGCAACGAGCGCAACCCUUAUCCUUUGUUGCCAGCGGUUAGGCCGGGAACUCAAAGGAGACUGCCAGUGAUAAACUGGAGGAAGGUGGGGAUGACGUCAAGUCAUCAUGGCCCUUACGACCAGGGCUACACACGUGCUACAAUGGCGCAUACAAAGAGAAGCGACCUCGCGAGAGCAAGCGGACCUCAUAAAGUGCGUCGUAGUCCGGAUUGGAGUCUGCAACUCGACUCCAUGAAGUCGGAAUCGCUAGUAAUCGUGGAUCAGAAUGCCACGGUGAAUACGUUCCCGGGCCUUGUACACACCGCCCGUCACACCAUGGGAGUGGGUUGCAAAAGAAGUAGGUAGCUUAACCUUCGGGAGGGCGCUUACCACUUUGUGAUUCAUGACUGGGGUGAAGUCGUAACAAGGUAACCGUAGGGGAACCUGCGGUUGGAUCACCUCCUUACCUUAAAGAAGC